rnacentral:lncRNA from 1 species
UGCUUGUGAUUUAUUUGUGUUGUGAAUGUUAAUUUCAGAACCAACUGAAUUCAGAAUUGUAUAGUUGUAAUUGGUAAUUUGGAUGGGAUUCAGUAUUGAUAUGUAUUUUAAAAUGGAUUAUUGAUAUGCAUAUGAGCAAAGAGUCGAGACUUGGUUCUCAUUCGACGUUGGUUCUCACGAGAACACAACAAGAUAUACGUUCACACACAAGCACACAGACGCAAAAAGUAAACUAUCUAACGGACCCGGAAAUAUUGGUCUUCCCAUUUGAGGGGGGAGUAGUUGAUAUAAAUUUGUGUUCAUAUCUGCCUUAGUUUCGAGUGGUUUUCACUCACAAGCUUACAUGUGAGCUAUUGCUAUGUGGUAGUACUU